GGCCGGGGUGUGGGGGGCGGCGGGCCGGAGGGACGAGGGCGGGCGAGAGGCGCGCGCUGGGAUUGGCGCCGAAGACCGGACCCUCAGCCGCUAGGGGCUCCUGUGACCUUCUGUGCUGCUGGGCCUGACACACUUUGGAGGGAGUUUCCUGUGCUAGCAGAAUGAAAGGACAUUGCAAGUGUCUGCUCUUGUAAGACUGUGGCUACAAAACCCAGGUGUGAACCCUCCUAGGGGUCUGAAGAAGGUCAGAGGUGAGCUUGCAUGUGAGAUCUCUUUGGAAACCCUGGAGCACUCUGUGAAUGAAACGGGUAAAUUUUUUCUCUCCCUUGUACCAUAAACUCCAUGAGAGGAUUUGACAGGGCCAGGUAUGUUGCUCUUUAGAAGAAAGUUUGAAAUAUAUAUAUAUAUAAAAAAAUCACACUGUAAACCUUAAGUAUUUACAAUUUUUACUUGCCAACUAUACAUCAGUAAAGAGGGGUAGGUUUUGAUAAAACAAUGAACCAUUGAUUGAAGGAACGAACUCAUGAAUGUUAUAGACUAAAUGUCUGUGUCCUCGCCCCACCUCCAAACUCAUAUGUUGAAAUCCCAAACCCCAGUGUGAUAGUUUUAGGAGGUGGGGCCUUUGGGAGGUGAUUAGGUUUAUAUGAGGUCAUGAGGGCGGAGCUCCAUGAUGGAGUUAGUGCCUUUCCAAGAAGAGGAGACACAGCACUUCCUCUCCACCACCUGCGGACACAGCGAGAAGGCAGCCAUGUUCAAGCCAAGAGGAGGGCCCUCACCAAGAACUGAAUCUACCGAUACCUUGAUCUUGGACUUCCCAGCCUCCAGAACUGUGGAAAAAUAAAUGUCUGUUGCUUAA